rnacentral:RNase_P_RNA from 1 species
GCGGGCCGGACAACCGCGUGAAACAGUGAGGAAAGUCCGGGCUUCAAAGGACAGGAUGCCAGCUAACAGCUGGGCGGGGCGACCCGACGGAUCAGUGCCACAGAAAAGAAGACUCCCCUGCAUGCAGGAGAAAAGCUGAAACGGUGCGGUAAGAGCGCACCAGCGCGCCAGCAAUGGCGUGGCUUGGAAAACCCCAUCCGAAGCAAACGCAAAUAGGAACGCGAUACGGCCGUCCUUCCGUGCGUUCGGGUUGCGCGCUAGAGGCGCACGGCGACGUGCGCAGUAGAUAAAUGGUUGUCUUCAACGACAGAACCCGGCUUACACGCCCGCUCC